rnacentral:rRNA from 1 species
AGCUCCAAUAGCGUAUAUUAAAGUUGUUGCGGUUAAAAAGCUCGUAGUUUGGUUUCUGCACAAGACUUCAGGUCCGCCCUCUGGGCGUGUACCUGGUCAAGUCUUUGCAUCUUCUCGGGAUAUGUAACUGCACUUGACUGUGUGGUGCGUAGACCAAGACUUUCUACUUUGAGGAAAUUAGAGUGCUUCAAGCAGGCGCAAGCUUUGAAUACAAUAGCAUGGAAUAGUAAUAUACAACCUCUGCUUAUUUUGUUGGUUUCUGUUGUGGAGGUAAUGAUUAACAGGGAUAGCGUGGGGGCAUUCGUAUUUAACUGUCAGAGGUGAAAUUC